rnacentral:rRNA from 1 species
UGCCAGCCGCCGCGGUAAUACGGAGGGUGCAAGCGUUAUCCGGAAUCAUUGGGUUUAAAGGGUCCGCAGGCGGAUUUAUAAGUCAGUGGUGAAAGCCUACAGCUUAACUGUAGAACUGCCAUUGAAACUGUAAGUCUUGAAUUCGGUCGAAGUGGGCGGAAUAUGACAUGUAGCGGUGAAAUGCUUAGAUAUGUCAUAGAACACCGAUAGCGAAGGCAGCUCACUAGGCCUGGAUUGACGCUCAGGGACGAAAGCGUGGGGAGCAAACAGGAUUAGAUACCCUGGUAGUCCACGCCGUAAACUAUCAAUACUCGUUCUCGGCGAUAUACAGUCGGGGACUAAGCGAAAGUGAUAAGUAUUGCACCUGGGGAGUACGAUCGCAAGGUUGAAACUUAAAGAAAUUGACGG